GAUGAACGCUAGCUACAGGCUUAACACAUGCAAGUCGCAGGGUAACAUGAGGAAAGCUUGCUUUCCUUGAUGACGACUGGCGCACGGGUGAGUAACGCGUAUCCAACCUUCCCAUAACUACGGGAUAACCCGUUGAAAGACGGCCUAAUACCGUAUGAUAUCGUUUGCUGACAUCAAAUAACGAUUAAAGGUUUAGCGGUUAUGGAUGGGGAUGCGUCUGAUUAGCUUGUUGGCUGGGUAACGGCCCACCAAGGCGACGAUCAGUAGGGGUUCUGAGAGGAAGGUGCCCCACAGUGGAACUGGGACACGGUCCAAACUCCUACGGGAGGCAGCAGUAAGGAAUAUUGGUGAAUGGGAGAGAGCCUGAACCAGCCAAGUAGCGUGCAGGACGACGGCCCUAUGGGUUGUAAACUGCUUUUAGGUGGGGAUAAAGUGCGUGACGUGUCAUGCAUUGCAGGUACCACAUGAAUAAGGACCGGCUAAUUCCGUG
rnacentral:rRNA from 1 species